CCCUUGAGAGUGGCGAACGGGUGAGUAAUAUAUCGGAACGUGCCCAGUCGUGGGGGAUAACGUAGCGAAAGUUACGCUAAUACCGCAUACGAUCUAAGGAUGAAAGCGGGGGAUCGCAAGACCUCGCGCGAUUGGAGCGGCCGAUAUCAGAUUAGGUAGUUGGUGGGGUAAAGGCUCACCAAGCCAACGAUCUGUAGCUGGUCUGAGAGGACGACCAGCCACACUGGAACUGAGACACGGUCCAGACUCCUACGGGAGGCAGCAGUGGGGAAUUUUGGACAAUGGACGCAAGUCUGAUCCAGCCAUUCCGCGUGCGGGAUGAAGGCCCUCGGGUUGUAAACUGCUUUUGUACGGAACGAAAAGGUCUCUCUUAAUACGAGGGGCUCAUGACGGUACCGUAAGAAUAAGCACCGGCUAACUACGUGCCAGCAGCCGCGGUAAGACGGAGGAUGCAAGUGUUAUCCGGAAUCACUGGGCGUAAAGCGUCCGCAGGUGGUUUUUUAAGUCUACUGUUAAAACUUGAGGCUUAACCUCAAA
rnacentral:rRNA from 1 species